rnacentral:rRNA from 1 species
UAGGGAAUCUUCCGCAAUGGGCGAAAGCCUGACGGAGCAACGCCGCGUGAGUGAUGAAGGUCUUCGGAUCGUAAAACUCUGUUAUUAGGGAAGAACAAAUGUGUAAGUAACUAUGCACGUCUUGACGGUACCUAAUCAGAAAGCCACGGCUAACUACGUGCCAGCAGCCGCGGUAAUACGUAGGUGGCAAGCGUUAUCCGGAAUUAUUGGGCGUAAAGCGCGCGUAGGCGGUUUUUUAAGUCUGAUGUGAAAGCCCACGGCUCAACCGUGGAGGGUCAUUUGAAACUGGAAAACUUGAGUGCAGAAGGGGAAAGGGGAAUUCCAUGUGUAGCAGUGAAAAGCGCAGAGAUAUGGAGGAACACCAGUGGCGAAGGCGACUUUCUGGUCUGUAACUGACGCUGAUGUGCGAAAGCGUGGGGAUCAAACAGG